rnacentral:siRNA from 1 species
AUAUCUAGAGUGAUCGCAAUUACC